rnacentral:sRNA from 1 species
GUCCAACAUGUGUAGUAUUUUAAGGGUCUGUUUCUUUGUCCCUUUUCCUUUGCUUGCUGAAAGCACCAACAGCUACACACUAAGCUGCCCCAUGGCCGUGCUUUCCCUGUCUUGAUGGACUCACAUCCUCUGAGAAUGCGAGCCACAAUAAAUCCUUCCUCCUGGUUGCUUCUGUCAUGCAUGUUGUCACCACAGCAGUGAGAACAGUAAAUGAAUACAGUUUACUCCCUUGUCUCAGAAGGGCUUGGGGGGCUUAAGAGCAUGUAUAUUACUCUCAAUUAUUCUUACCCUGAAGACGGAGAAUGAGACUGUUGUGAUGAAUCGUGGCUCGCAUCUGGAGAGACCACACUAGGCCAGUGCAGUUCCGCGUGAGAGAGGGCGAUGGAGACAAGGGGGGAAAGAGAGAAGAAGGGGCGAAGGUCAGGAAGCAUCUGCUUUUUGGGCUGUGAUGUAACUGCUCCCAGGUAAAGGCAGGAGGUAAACCCAAUGGAUGCUGGGAAUGUAGGACAAUUGCCAUGGCAACAGAUGGGGGCCGUGACGCCUAUGGGUGAUGUCAUCACUGGGUUUGGACUGAAAGCUGGUUCCUGAUACCAACAAAGACGGCAAAGGCGGACUGCGACCCAAGAAAGCGCAGUGGUCACCAGUGCCUCCUUGCGGCAAUUCACAAAUAGUUAGACAUGGUCUAGCUCUAGGAGGUCUGGUUGAGGCUGGCACUGUCGCAGCUCUUUACUCUGAGGGAUCCUCUGAUCCUCCUGAGAGCUAGAGGUGGCAAAGAUAUUCCUCAACAUUUUCCAGUACACCAAUGCACAUCAUGGUUUUCUGGACACCUCUCCGUCUCCAAUGUGCGUGAGCGUCAUUUUUUCCAAGUGGUAUUCAACUUUGUCUUCUUCCAUGGAGUGAGCAGUGUGCUCAUUGACUUGAUCAGAGACACAAAGGAAAAGAAUCAGACCUGUUUCCAAGUGACCGAGACAGAACCACAAAAGAAAAACACGAGGUUCAUGUGGGAACCGAACUCAGGUCCUGUGACAAGCACCUUCAUGUGCUGAGCCAUCUGUCCACCUCAACCUAAAUAUCCAGCCUUAGAGGAUUAAACAAACUAUUGUUUAUCCAACUAGGAAAGCAUGUAAAUCAGCUGAAAGUGUUGAAUAGAAUAAAAGCAGUAUGUAAAAACA